rnacentral:rRNA from 1 species
GACGAACCGAGCGAACGUUGUUCGGAAUCACUGGGCUUAAAGGGUGCGUAGGCGGGCUGCCAAGUUUGGGGUGAAAUCCUCCGGCUCAACCGGGGAAGUGCCUCGAAUACUGGCGGUCUGGAGGGAGGUAGGGGCGUGCGGAACUAACGGUGGAGCGGUGAAAUGCGUUGAUAUCGUUAGGAACUCCGGUGGCGAAGGCGGCCUGCUGGGCUGUUGCUGACGGCUGAGGCGCGACAGCUGUGGGGAGCAAACAGGAUUGAGAGUACCCC